rnacentral:rRNA from 1 species
ACGAACGCUGGCGGCACGCUUAACACAUGCAAGUCGAACGAGAGAAGAGAAGCUUGCUUUUCUGAUCUAGUGGCGGACGGGUGAGUAACACGUGAGCAAUCUGCCUUUCAGAGGGGGAUACCGAUUGGAAACGAUCGUUAAUACCGCGUAACAUAAUUGAACCGCAUGAUUUGAUUAUCAAAGAUUUAUCGCUGAAAGAUGAGCUCGCGUCUGAUUAGCUAGUUGGUAAGGUAACGGCUUACCAAGGCGACGAUCAGUAGCCGGACUGAGAGGUUGAUCGGCCACAUUGGGACUGAGACACGGCCCAGACUCCUACGGGAGGCAGCAGUGGGGAAUAUUGCACAAUGGAGGAAACUCUGAUGCAGCGAUGCCGCGUGAGGGAAGAAGGUUUUAGGAUUGUAAACCUCUGUCUUCAGGGACGAAAAAAGACGGUACCUGAGGAGGAAGCUCCGGCUAACUACGUGCCAGCAGCCGCGGUAAUACGUAGGGAGCGAGCGUUGUCCGGAAUUACUGGGUGUAAAGGGAGCGUAGGCGGGAUCGCAAGUCAGAUGUGAAAACUAUGGGCUUAACCCAUAAACUGCAUUUGAAACUGUGGUUCUUGAGUGAAGUAGAGGUAAGCGGAAUUCCUAGUGUAGCGGUGAAAUGCGUAGAUAUUAGGAGGAACAUCAGUGGCGAAGGCGGCUUACUGGGCUUUAACUGACGCUGAGGCUCGAAAGCGUGGGGAGCAAACAGGAUUAGAUACCCUGGUAGUCCACGCCGUAAACGAUGAUUACUAGGUGUGGGGGGACUGACCCCUUCCGUGCCGCAGCAAACGCAAUAAGUAAUCCACCUGGGGAGUACGACCGCAAGGUUGAAACUCAAAGGAAUUGACGGGGGCCCGCACAAGCAGUGGAGUAUGUGGAUUAAUUCGAAGCAACGCGAAGAACCUUACCAGGUCUUGACAUCGUAUGCAUAGCUCAGAGAUGAGUGAAAUCUCUUCGGAGACAUAUAGACAGGUGGUGCAUGGUUGUCGUCAGCUCGUGUCGUGAGAUGUUGGGUUAAGUCCCGCAACGAGCGCAACCCUUACUGUUAGUUGCUACGCAAGAGCACUCUAGCAGGACUGCCGUUGACAAAACGGAGGAAGGUGGGGAUGACGUCAAAUCAUCAUGCCCCUUAUGACCUGGGCCUCACACGUACUACAAUGGCUGUCAACAGAGGGAAGCAAAGCCGCGAGGUGGAGCAAACCCCUAAAAGCAGUCUUAGUUCGGAUUGUAGGCUGCAACCCGCCUACAUGAAGUCGGAAUUGCUAGUAAUCGCAGAUCAGCAUGCUGCGGUGAAUACGUUCCCGGGCCUUGUACACACCGCCCGUCACGCCAUGGGAGUCGGUAACACCCGAAGCCUGUAGUCUAACCGCAAGGAGGACGCAGUCGAAGGUGGGAUUGAUGACUGGGGUG